CGCUGGCGGCGUGCCUAAUACAUGCAAGUCGAGCGAAUGACAAGGAGCUUGCUCCUUUGAUCUAGCGGCGGACGGGUGAGUAACACGUGGGUAACCUACCCUAUAGACUGGGAUAACUUCGGGAAACCGGAGCUAAUACCGGAUAAUACUUCGAAACACAUGUUUUGAAGUUGAAGGAUGGUUUCGGCUAUCACUAUAGGAUGGACCCGCGGCGCAUUAGCUAGUUGGUGAGGUAACGGCUCACCAAGGCAACGAUGCGUAGCCGACCUGAGAGGGUGAUCGGCCACACUGGGACUGAGACACGGCCCAGACUCCUACGGGAGGCAGCAGUAGGGAAUCUUCCACAAUGGACGAAAGUCUGAUGGAGCAACGCCGCGUGAAGUGAAGAAGGAUUUCGGUUCGUAAAACUCUGUUGCAAGGGAAGAACAAGUAGCGUAGUAACUGGCGCUACCUUGACGGUACCUUGUUAGAAAGCCACGGCUAACUACGUGCCAGCAGCUGC
rnacentral:rRNA from 1 species